rnacentral:lncRNA from 1 species
GUUUCAUGUGACCGUUUCUAAUUGCUAGUGGUAGGAGUGAGACCGCUAUGAUUUGAUUCAGACCAAACAAGAUUCUACCCCCUAGAAGCAGGAGUGGAACCUGCCUCACCUGAAACAGAUGGCUUCUUGGAGAAGAGGGAAUAUUUUAAAAAAUCAGCCCCUCCCUAAAAGGUGCCUUGAACUGUCCAGAAGAGACAAACCGAAGCCCGGCACUGGAAGGGAGGAAAAGAGAGAUGACCCUCUCCCCGCAACAAGGUUAUCAGAGAGCUGGAAGCCAAGUGCCCUCCUCCACGUUCUCUCUACUGUGCCAUGUGGCUUGUGUUGAUACAGACCCUUGGGCUGGACCAAUCCUGGAAGAUCAAGAGCUGACUGGUGAGCCCAGGGCGAAAGUGGUGGGGAUAGGGUGAGAGGCACAAUGCUCUGGGAUUUGUA